GGCGCACGGGUGAGUAAUGCAUCGGAACGUGCCCUGGAAUGGGGGAUAACGUAGCGAAAGUUACGCUAAUACCGCAUAUUCUGUGAGCAGGAAAGCAGGGGAUCGCAAGACCUUGCGUUCUGGGAGCGGCCGAUGUCGGAUUAGCUAGUUGGUGGGGUAAAGGCCUACCAAGGCGACGAUCCGUAGCGGGUCUGAGAGGAUGAUCCGCCACACUGGGACUGAGACACGGCCCAGACUCCUACGGGAGGCAGCAGUGGGGAAUUUUGGACAAUGGGCGGAAGCCUGAUCCAGCCAUGCCGCGUGAGUGAAGAAGGCCU
rnacentral:rRNA from 1 species